UACAAGGGGCGGAGCGUUGUUCGGAAUUACUGGGCGUAAAGCGUGCGCAGGCGGCUUCUCAAGUCAGGGGUGAAAGCCCAGAGCUCAACUCUGGAAUUGCCUUUGAGACUGAGUGGCUUGAGUACGAGAGAGGUGAGUGGAAUUCCCAGUGUAGAGGUGAAAUUCGUAGAUAUUGGGAAGAACACCGGUGGCGAAGGCGGCUCACUGGCUCGUAACUGACGCUCAUGCACGACAGCGUGGGGAUCAAACAGG
rnacentral:rRNA from 1 species